rnacentral:rRNA from 1 species
AUACGGAGGGUCCAAGCGUUAUCCGGAUUCAUUGGGUUUAAAGGGUCCGCAGGCGGGAAAAUAAGUCAGUGGUGAAAGCCUACAGCUCAACUGUAGAACUGCCAUUGAUACUGUUUUUCUUGAGUAUAGAUGAAGUGGGCGGAAUAUAUCAUGUAGCGGUGAAAUGCAUAGAUAUGAUAUAGAACACCGAUUGCGAAGGCAGCUCACUAAACUAUUACUGACGCUCAGGGACGAAAGCGUGGGGAGCGAACAGGAUUAGAUACCCUGGUAGUCC